GUUUGGCGUCUGUGUACGGGUCCG
rnacentral:miRNA from 1 species